rnacentral:misc_RNA from 1 species
AGCUAAGAGUAAAACAGCGAAAGAGAGUAGCAGGAGUGGGUAAAGCCGCAAACCCUAGGAGAGAGAAAAGAAGGGCAAUGCGCGUAUGUGGGGCUGCAGAUCCACAAAAUGAGGUAGAGAUCUAAAAAGCCAAAUCCAAACACACGCUCUACAUGUGUGUGCAUCGAAGAAAGACGCAGUGGAGCUUCCAGGGGUACACAGAGAGAGAGAGAGAGAGAGAGAG